AAACCAGCACCUCAAGUGGUCAGGAUGAUUAUUGGGCCUAAAGCAUCCGUAGCCUGCUCUGUAAGUUUUCGGUUAAAUCUGUACGCUCAACGUACAGGCUGUCGGGAAUACUGCAGAGCUAGGGAGUGGGAGAGGUAGACGGUACUCGGGAGGAAGUGGUAAAAUGCUUUGAUCUCUCGAUGACCACCUGUGGCGAAGGCGGUCUACCAGAACACGUCCGACGGUGAGGGAUGAAAGCUGGGGGAGCAAACCGGAUUAGAAACCCCAGUAGUCC
rnacentral:rRNA from 1 species